AGGGCAUGGGGGAGGGGUCCUCCCGCCUCGAGCUCUGCCCGCCCCCAGGGCUUUCCUGAGGCCCUAGCCUCCUCUCCUGCUGCUCGGGCUGCUCAUCUGGGGCGAUGGCGGAGGGAAGCACCCGCUGGAAACGCGAGAGGGGCAGGCCGCACGCUAAUCUGGGGCCCCCGGGGCGGGGCUAGGGGCGGGAGGCGCCCUGCCCCCACAGGACUCGGGGUCACCCAGGGGUCAGCUCUACUGGGGGGCGGGGCCUGGCCCUUGGGGCCUCUUCAGACCCCGCUCGCUGCUUGGGGCCCCAGGCGGGUCCCCCUCCUGCUUCCGGGCUGGCUUAUUCUCCGUCCGCCUCCAGCCUUGGGUCUCCGCAGGGCCCUCGUGCUCCACUGUGAGCGCGGGGCUGCCCCCGAGGCCGUCUUGGGGGAGGGGGAGGGAAGGAGGCCUGGGCACGUGAGGGUUGCAGGAGGGGCCCCUAGAGGCCGCUGGGGCGGGAGCGCGGACGAGCCCCCGGGCCACCCGAGCAGUAGGGUGCGCCCGCGGACACAGCCUCCGGGCUCAUGCGCCGACGCCUUCCCUUCUGACGUCAUUUCCAGUUCUUCCCCUCCUUGGUGUCCUUGGUCUUUAGGGGCUUCCUGUCACCUCGGUUCAGCUCCGUGCUCAGCCGCUGCCUGGCAGUCCCGCGCCCCGGGCCGGGGCCGGGAUGGGCGGGCAGCGGGAGGAAUCAGUGCUCGCUUUGGAGCCUUCAGCCUGGAGAGAGAUUCCCAGUCUUACCUAGGAAGAGGCUGGGUGGGGCCACGCACCCCGCGCGAAGGGACGCGCCCAUUGGUCAGCUCUGCCUGUAAGAACUGCCCUUUCCCAAAGCAGGAAGAACCAAGGAGGAGGAAGAAGAAGAAAUGGUUCCUGUGUGCCUGAUGGCUGGGGCUCUGGGGCUCCCACCCCACUUACCAGAGACUUGGACACAGGCUGGAAACGGUCAAGCCCAAGAUGCUGGGAUUCUGAGCAGAGCAGCCAGUAUUGGCUUCUAGGUGAUUCCUGUCAAUCCAAGAUGAACUGCCAGGUAUUUGUCAAUCCAGCACUUUCCUGGAUAGUUUUAAGUUCUCCCCUAGUCAGUGGAUAUGUAUCAUCUUGGGAAGUCUUAGAUUUUUCCCUUUAUGUAUAACUCUUUUCUGCUUGGGGGAGCUAAGGGAUUAGACCAGAGGUGCUGGCUGGGCUGGGCAGCCAGCGUCAGGGUUGGCCCUUAAUAAAAAAAAAAAAAAGGACA
rnacentral:lncRNA from 1 species